rnacentral:rRNA from 1 species
AGUGAACGCUGGCGGUAGGCCUAACACAUGCAAGUCGAACGGCAGCACAGUAAGAGCUUGCUCUUACGGGUGGCGAGUGGCGGACGGGUGAGGAAUACAUCGGAAUCUACUUUUUCGUGGGGGAUAACGUAGGGAAACUUACGCUAAUACCGCAUACGACCUACGGGUGAAAGCAGGGGAUCUUCGGACCUUGCGCGAUUGAAUGAGCCGAUGUCGGAUUAGCUAGUUGGCGGGGUAAAGGCCCACCAAGGCGACGAUCCGUAGCUGGUCUGAGAGGAUGAUCAGCCACACGGGAACUGAGACACGGUCCAGACUCCGACGGGAGGCAGCAGUGGGGAAUAUUGGACAAUGGGCGCAAGCCUGAUCCAGCCAUACCGCGUGGGUGAAGAAGGCCUUCGGGUUGUAAAGCCCUUUUGUUGGGAAAGAAAAGCAGCAGGUUAAUACCCCGCUGUUCUGACGGUACCCAAAGAAUAAGCACCGGCUAAGUUCGUG